rnacentral:rRNA from 1 species
AGUGAACGCUGGCGGUAGGCCUAACACAUGCAAGUCGAACGGCAGCACAGUAAGAGCUUGCUCUUACGGGUGGCGAGUGGCGUACGGGUGAGGAAUACAGUGGAAUCUACUUUUUCGUGGGGGAUAACGUAGGGAAACUUACGCUAAUACCGCAUACGACCUACGGGUGAAAGCAGGGGAUCUUCGGACCUUGCGCGAUUGAAUGAGCCGAUGUCGGAUUAGCUAGUUGGUGGGGUAAAGGCCCACCAAGGGGACGAUCCGUAGCUGGUCUGAGAGGAUGCUCGGCGGAACUGGAACUGGAGCACGGUCCAGCCUCCUGCGAGAGGCAGCAGUGGGGAAUAUUGGCCAGUGGGCGCAAGCCUGAUCCAGCCAUACCGCGUGGGUGCCGAAGGCCUUCGGGUUGUAAAGCCCUUUUGUUGGGAGAGAAAAGCAGCAGGUUAAUACCCCGCUGUUCUGACGGUACCCAAAGAAUAAGCACCGGCUAACUUCGUG